AACAUCUCAAAUCUCUCGGCGCUUGCGCUACAGAGAAUUGGAUUUGAGCGAUCCCGACUCUUUCGUCAGAAAGAGGAGGGUCGCUUGAAAUGCAGGUGCAGCUGGACAUUCUUCUGAGCUAAAAGCAUAUCUAUUUAGUCCCGUCAAACGGAUUAUUACUUUUGCUUCAGCUAAUAUAAAGGUCGAAUGAACUACCAACGCUGAUUGCAGGAAAACUCGUUCUUUUACAGAACUUGUAA
rnacentral:misc_RNA from 1 species